GUUCUAGACUUGUAGGUCCUAGACUUGUAGGCUCUAGACUUGUAGGCUCUAGACUUGUAGGUCCUAGACUUGUAGGUCCAAGACUUGUAGGCUCUAGACCUGUAGGUUUUAGACUUGUGGGUUUUAGACUUGAUGGCUCUAGACUUGUUGGUCCUUGACUUGUACGCUCUAGAUUUGUAGGCUCUAGUCUUGUAGGCUCUAGAUUUGUAGGCUCUAGACUUGUAGGCUCUAGACUUGUAGACUCUAUCCUUGUAGGCUCUAGACUUGUAGGCUCUAGUUUGUAGGCUCUAGACUUGUAGGCUCUAGUCUUGUAGGCUCUAGAUUUGUAGGGUCUAGACUUGUAGGCUCUAGACUUGUAGACUCUAGCCUUGUAGGUUCUAGACUUGUAGGCUCUAGACUUGUAGACUCUAGCCUUGUAGGUUCUAGACUUGUAGGCUCUAGACUUGUAGGCUCUAUUCUUGUAGGCUCUAGACUUGUAGGUUCUAUACUUGUAGGCUCUAGAUUUGUAGGCUCUAGACUUGUAGGCUCUAUAUUUGUAGGCUCUAGACUUGUAGGCUCUAUAUUUGUAGGUCUUGGACUUGUAGGUGUUAGAUUUUUAGGUCCUAGACUUGUAGGCUCUAGACCUGUAGGCUCCAGACUUGUAGGUCUUAUACUUGUAGGCUCUAGACUUGUAGGCUCCAGACUUGUAGGUCUUAUACUUGUAGGCUCUAGACAGAAGUGUAGACUCAGAACCAGUAGACUCUAGGCUUUUAGACUCUAGACUUGUAUCCUCCUCUUCCCUGAAACCCUGUAAGUAUUGAUUCAGGUCCUCGGAGGCUUGUUAUCAUCAGACUGAUAUAUUAAUAAUGUUAAUAUAAAAUAUUGAUAAACGGAUCUCGAUGCUUCUUCCAUCGGUCAAAUAAAUCUUAGUAGUUACGG
ensembl:lncRNA